rnacentral:rRNA from 1 species
UACGUAGGGGGCAAGCGUUGUCCGGAUUUAUUGGGCGUAAAGAGCUCGUAGGCGGCUUGGCAAGUCGGGUGUGAAAACUCCAGGCUCAACCUGGAGAUGCCACUCGAGACUGCUAUGGCUAGAGUCCGGUAGGGGACCACGGAAUUCCUGGUGUAGCGGUGAAAUGCGUAGAGAUGUGGAGGAACACCGAUGGCGAAGGCAGCCUCCUGGGCCAACACUGACGCUGAGGAGCGAAGCGUGGGG